AUGACAUUUACUAUUGUGGUUCUACUGAUGACAAUGGGCUUGACAGGUGUUUAUGGUCAGACACUGACUGAGUCUGGACCAGUGUUUAAAAAGCCUGGAGAAUCCCACCAACUGACCUGUACAGCCUCUGGGUUCACAUUCAGUAGCUAUGAGAUGAACUGGAUCAGGCAGGCUCCUGUGAAAGGACUGGACUGGAUUGCUUAUAGUUAUGGUACUGCUACAUAUUACUGCCAGUCAGUCCAGGGUAGAUUCACCAUUUCCAGAGAGGACUCCAGCAGUAAACUGUACCUACAGAUGAACAGCCUGAAGAGUGUGGACACAGCAGUGUAUUACUGUGCUAGAGAGUCACAGUGGUUAAAUUAA